GAGAAAGUAUGCAAGAACUGCUAAUUCUAUGCCUCCAUGUCUAAUAACAUGGCUUUUUCA
rnacentral:tRNA from 2 species